rnacentral:lncRNA from 1 species
CGGCUGGUUUUAUUUCUUUUUACCAUGUGAUGAUGCAUUGUCUUGUCUUUGAUUGCUCUUCGUUCUUUUGUCUAGGUAUCCUUGCCUUCGGAAUCUUUGGAUUGCAUUAACCAAGCAAGAAAAAUCUAGGAGGUAUUAAAUUAUCAUAUAUGUUAUGUGGCUCUAAAAUUAUAAGGUAAGUUUUCUAUUUUAUCGUAUGGUAUAUUUAUCAU